rnacentral:piRNA from 4 species
GCAGAGUGGCGCAGCGGAAGCGUGCUGGGCCC